rnacentral:rRNA from 1 species
GACGAACGCUGGCGGCGUGCUUAACACAUGCAAGUCGAACGGAAAGGCCCUGCUUUUGUGGGGUGCUCGAGUGGCGAACGGGUGAGUAACACGGGAGUAACCUGCCCUUGACUUUGGGAUAACUUCAGGAAACUGGGGCUAAUACCGGAUAGGAGCUCCUGCUGCAUGGUGGGGGUUGGAAAGUUUCGGCGGUUGGGGAUGGACUCGCGGCUUAUCAGCUUGUUGGUGGGGUAGUGGCUUACCAAGGCUUUGACGGGUAGCCGGCCUGAGAGGGUGACCGGCCACAUUGGGACUGAGAUACGGCCCAGACUCCUACGGGAGGCAGCAGUGGGGAAUAUUGCACAAUGGGCGGAAGCCUGAUGCAGCAACGCCGCGUGCGGGAUGACGGCCUUCGGGUUGUAAACCGCUUUCGCCUGUGACGAAGCGUGAGUGACGGUAAUGGGUAAAGAAGCACCGGCUAACUACGU